UACGUAGGGGGCUAGCGUUGUCCGGAUUUAUUGGGCGUAAAGGGCGCGUAGGCGGUCCGCUAAGUUCGGCGUGAAAUCCCCUGGCUCAACUGGGGAACGGCGCUGGAUACUGGUGGACUCGAGUACCGGAGAGGAGAGUGGAAUUCCUGGUGUAGCGGUGAAAUGCGUAGAUAUCUGGAGGAACACCGGUGGCGAAGGCGGCAUCCUGGACCGGUAUUGACGCUGAGGCGCGAAAGCCAGGGGAGCAAACGGG
rnacentral:rRNA from 1 species